GCAGCUAAAAAGGUGUAUAAUGCUGAAUUAUAUAAUUCUAAAGAGAGGUUCUUCAUAAAUAAUGAUCCACAGUUCUAUUUUUAUCUCAUAGUUAUCUAUUAUUAUUUCAAUCUAUCCUUUAGUUUUUAAUUUUUACCUCGGUAGCACAACACCAUAAUAAUCAUUCCUUUCCCUCGAGAAGGCAAUACUCCUAUAGAGAAAAUGCUUGAAGGUUAAAGUAG
rnacentral:lncRNA from 1 species